rnacentral:rRNA from 1 species
GUCUCUUAGUAAUUAUUAAGAGUCCAGCCUGCCCAGUGAUUACUUUAACGGCCGCGGUACCCUGACCGUGCAAAGGUAGCAUAAUCAUUUGCCUUUUAAUUGAAGGCUAGUAUGAACGGCUAGACGAGAGUAAAACUGUCUCACAUGCAUUUCACAGAAAUUAAUCUAAAGGUGCAAAAGCCUUUAUUUACCAAAAAGACGAGAAGACCCUGUUGAGCUUUAAUCCUAACUAGGCAUACUUUUAUAUUCAUAUAAUUCAUCUGCCUAGCAGAGAUUUUAAUUGGGGCGAUUAAGGAACAACCCAAAGCUUCCUGAUAAACAAUUAAAUAUUGAUAAAUUAAAUCGAUCCAGCACUGCUGAUCAACAAAAUGAGUUACCACAGGGAUAACAGCAUAAUUCUUUUUAAGAGCCCAUAUCGAAAAAAGAGAUUGUGACCUCGAUGUUGGACUAGGGUAACAGAAAGGUGUAGCCGUUUUUCUGCUUGGUCUGUUCGACCA